UACGAAGGGGGCUAGCGUUGCUCGGAAUUACUGGGCGUAAAGGGCGCGUAGGCGGAUAGUUUAGUCAGAGGUGAAAGCCCAGGGCUCAACCUUGGAAUUGCCUUUGAUACUGGCUGUCUUGAGUACGGGAGAGGUGAGUGGAACUCCGAGUGUAGAGGUGAAAUUCGUAGAGUAUUCGGAAGAACACCAGUGGCGGAAGGCGACUCACUGGCCCGGUACUGACGACUGAGGCGCGAAAGCGGUGGGGAGCAAACAGG
rnacentral:rRNA from 1 species